UGGGGAAUUUUGGACAAUGGGCGAAAGCCUGAUCCAGCAAUGCCGCGUGUGUGAAGAAGGCCUUCGGGUUGUAAAGCACUUUUGUCCGGAAAGAAAUCCUUGGCUCUAAUACAGUCGGGGGAUGACGGUACCGGAAGAAUAAGCACCGGCUAACUACGUGCCAGCAGCCGCGGUAAUACGUAGGGUGCAAGCGUUAAUCGGAAUUACUGGGCGUAAAGCGUGCGCAGGCGGUUUGCUAAGACCGAUGUGAAAUCCCGGGCUCAACCUGGGAACUGCAUUGGUGACUGGCAGGCUAGAGUAUGGCAGAGGGGGGUAGAAUUCCACGUGUAGCAGUGAAAUGCGUAGAGAUGUGGAGGAAUACCGAUGGCGAAGGCAGCCCCCUGGCCAAGUACUGACGCUCAUGCACGAAAGCGUGGGGAGCAAACAGGAUUAGAUACCCUGGUAGUCCACGCCCUAAACGAUGUCAACUAGUUGUUGGGGAUUCAUUUCCUUAGUAACGUAGCUAACGCGUGAAGCUGACCGCCUGGGGAGUACGGUCGCAAGAUUAAAACUCAAAGGAAUUGAC
rnacentral:rRNA from 1 species